CCCGCGGUGCAUUAGCUAGUUGGUGAGGUAACGGCUCACCAAGGCCACGAUGCAUAGCCGACCUGAGAGGGUGAUCGGCCACAUUGGGACUGAGAUACGGCCCAGACUCCUACGGGAGGCAGCAGUGGGGAAUAUUGGGCAAUGGACGCAAGUCUGACCGAGCAACGCCGCGUGAGUGAAGAAGGUUUUCGGAUCGUAAAACUCUGUUGUUAGAGAAGAACAAGGAUGAGAGUGGAAAGUUCAUCCCUUGACGGUAUCUAACCAGAAAGCCACGGCUAACUAC
rnacentral:rRNA from 1 species